rnacentral:rRNA from 1 species
UACGUAGGGACCGAGCGUUGUCCGGAAUCAUUGGGCGUAAAGAGCGUGUAGGCGGCUCGCUAAGUCUUGCGUGAAAUCUCGGGGCUCAACCCCGAGCGGUCGUGAGAAACUGGCGGGCUAGAGUGCGGGAGAGGAGAGUGGAAUUCCUGGUGUAGCGGUGAAAUGCGUAGAUAUCAGGAAGAACACCCGUGGCUAAGGCGGCUCUCUAGUACGGUACUGACGCUGAGACGCGAAAGCGUGGGGAGCGAACAGG